GACGAAGCCGAGCGAACGUUGUUCGGAAUAACUGGGCUUAAAGGGCGCGUAGCGGGCCGCCAAGUCCGAGGUGAAAUCCUCCCGGCUCAACCGGAGAACUGCCUCGGAUACUGGAGGUCUCGGAGGGUGGUAGGGGCACGCGGAACUGUGGGUGGAGCGGUGAAAUGCGUUGAUAUCCACAGGAACUCCGGUGGCGAAGGCGGCGUGCUGGACCACGUCUGACGCUGAGGCGCGAAAGCGUGGGGAGCGAACAGG
rnacentral:rRNA from 1 species